rnacentral:rRNA from 1 species
AUAAUACUCCAUAGAUUAGAGACACUGGAGUGUUCUUUAGUCGAAAGUUCUGGCGCCUUAGGAUGGAUCUGCGGUCGAUUAGGUUGUUGUUGGGGUAACGGCCCAACAAGCCUGUAAUCGAUACGGGUUGUGGGAGCAAGAGCCCGGAGAUGGAAUCUGAGACACGAUUCCAGGCCCUACGGGGCGCAGCAGGCGCGAAAACUUUACAAUGCAGGAAACUGUGAUAAGGGAACCCCGAGUGCCCGUAUACGCGGGCUGUCCAGGUGUUUAAAAGUCAUCUGAAGAAAGGGCCGGGCAAGACCGGUGCCAGCCGCCGCGGUAAUACGGGCGGCUCGAGUGGUGGCCACUAUUAUUGGGCUUAAAGCGUCCGUAGCUGGACUGAUAAGUCUCUUGGGAAAUCCGCCGGCUCAACCGGCGGGCGUCUAAGGGAUACUGUUGGUCUAGGGACCGGGAGAGGUGAGAGGUACUCCGGGGGUAGGAGUGAAAUCCUGUAAUCCCCGGGGGACCACCGAUGGCGAAGGCAUCUCACCAGAACGGCUCCGACAGUGAGGGACGAAAGCUGGGGGAGCGAACCGGAUUAGAUACCCGGGUAGUCCCAGCCGUAAACUAUGCGCGUUAGGUGU